GAUGAACGCUGGCGGCGUGCCUAAUACAUGCAAGUCGAGCGAACGGACGAGAAGCUUGCUUCUCUGAUGUUAGCGGCGGACGGGUGAGUAACACGUGGAUAACCUACCUAUAAGACUGGGAUAACUUCGGGAAACCGGAGCUAAUACCGGAUGAUAUUUUGAACCGCAUGGUUCAAAAGUGAAAGACGGUCUUGCUGUCACUUAUAGAUGGAUCCGCGCUGCAUUAGCUAGUUGGUAAGGUAACGGCUUACCAAGGCAACGAUGCAUAGCCGACCUGAGAGGGUGAUCGGCCACACUGGAACUGAGACACGGUCCAGACUCCUACGGGAGGCAGCAGUAGGGAAUCUUCCGCAAUGGGCGAAAGCCUGACGGAGCAACGCCGCGUGAGUGAUGAAGGUCUUCGGAUCGUAAAACUCUGUUAUUAGGGAAGAGCAUAUGUGUAAGUAACUGUGCACAUCUUGACGGUACCUAAUCAGAAAGCCACGGCUAACUACGUG
rnacentral:rRNA from 1 species